CUGGGAGCUCGGCCUCCUGCACAGCUUCUGGGAACUUGAAUGGUGACAGGCUUGCUGUGGAAGGAGCAGAAAGGAACUAGGAAGAAGGAUUUGUCUUUAGCAACUUCCUGAGUGCAUCUGGCUUCCUCUGGGAGGGAAGUGGGAAGGCCAGGUCCUCAAUUACUGCUGAUGCUACAGUGAUGAAUAAGCGAGCAAAGCACUAUCCAUGGGGAUCUGCAGCAACAACUACUAAUUAGUUACUAUUGCAGAGCAGGCUACAUGUGAGGUCUACAGCAUGCAACCACUUGUUGGUUUAGCCAGCAACCAAACCAGAAAGGAUGUGGACAGACCUUAUUCUCCAGCAGAGGGCAGUGCCACAUAUAAAUUACUAAAAAAGGGAGAAAAAGAUGACAUGGGCAUCAGGAAGAUGAUGAACUCUACAAAGCAGUGUAGCCUGGGUGAGAGGACACAGACAUGGAACCAAGCAGAAACACUGUGUGAACAACAUUUUCCGAUGGGAAAGAUGUGGGGAAGGUUGCACCUCCAAAGUAAAACAAGCUAUGGCAUUAACUAUGGGAGGAAAUUCAUAAAUCAUACAGGAUGCUGUUUCCUUCUUCCAGCUAAGCCUUACAAAGACUGACUGUUCUGCCCUGACCAGAGGAGCUUCUCCCAUUUUGUAGACUAGAUACUGCCUGGUUUGUGAGCUGCUAAUAAAAGCCAAUUCGAACUUUAAAAUGCAA